rnacentral:rRNA from 1 species
AUUGAACGCUGGCGGCAGGCCUAACACAUGCAAGUCGAGCGAGCGGCGGACGGGUGAGUAAUGUAUGGGGACUGCCCGAUAGAGGGGGAUAACUACUGGAAACGGUAGCUAAUACCGCAUACUAUCGGAUAACCCAUAUGGGAUUAGCUAGUAGGUGAGGUAAUGGCUCACCUAGGCGACGAUCCCUAGCUGGUCUGAGAGGAUGAUCAGCCACACUGGGACUGAGACACGGCCCAGACUCCGACGGAGGCAGCAGUGGGGAAUAUUGCACAAUGGGCGAAAGCCGGAUGCAGCCAUGCCGCGUGUAUGAAGAAGGCCUUCGGGUUGUAAAGUACUUUUGGCAGAGAAGCGUUACCGACAGAAGAAGCACCGGCUAACUCCGUGCCAGCAGCCGCGGUAAUUC